ACCGCCGUAGCUCAGUGGUAGAGCAUCGGGCGCUCGAUUCGAUGGUCGCAGGUUCGGUCCCUGCCGGCGGUA
rnacentral:tRNA from 1 species